UUUUUAAACUCACAACCAUUUUAUUCAUGCUUUAUAAUGAAAACACAGCUUAACUCACCUUCCCAUUGUGGCCCUUCAGAUUAAUGAUAUUCUCGAAAGAGAGGACCAAGUAAAUGUGGAUGACGUUUCCAUUUACAGCUGCAAACAUGUGUCCACCGUGGCUAAAAGCACACUAAGCCGCGCACAGUGAACUCCUUGAAGGUGCGGAUGUCAUCAAUGAGCAGGUUCAUCAGCCUCAGUUUGUCUGAGAAGCCAACCAGGAUGGAGAGGCCAGUGGGGUGCAGAGCCACGCUAUACGCCUCCUCCUGGAACUCCUUAUAAAGCUCCAACACUCUGGAGACAAGUCACAGUGAGAGGCAAUGAAGAGACAGCUGUACUUAGUAUGUGACUUACUGCCAUUUGAUUUAUGAGUGUCUGAAAAAACACUGAAAAGAAGACAUGCUGUCUUAAAUCAUGUUUGGAUCACAGUGCUGUUUGAUUUCUGGGCUUCUACAACAAAACCUCAGUCCUUUCUAAGCCAGGACUUUCUGUAAAUGACCUUUUUAAAAGGUAAAAAUGUAUCAAAACAUGUUUUCAUAUCUUUUCUAUCUGUCAUGCCUGUGAUUAAUGGUUUAAGUUUCUAUUUUCUUUGUGUUUACUGUUUGAACCGGUUGGGGCUUUUAUUUUGAAGUCUGGUUUGCCGCUGACGAGCUGGGUAACAGGUGGUAAGAAGAUAUAAACAAACGCUGGGAUAAUGAAUGAAGGUGUGGUAGAGUAGGCACUAAUCUUAAGGUCAGGUAUAGUGUCCUGCAAGAACAUGGGAAUAAGGGAUCGUUUUUACUGUCUUGGUUUGGUGUUUAAUGUGCUGAUGCUUUGUUCCCCUUGAAAGCUGAGAAGUGUGUAAUUGCGGUAGCCGCUCCCAGCUGACUCUCCCAGCCCUUUGUUAGCUGAGUCCGGUAGACCUUUGUUUUGUGUUUAUUGCCUUUAAAAUGCUUCUGAGGUAUCCCUGAUUUAUUGUAUUUUUGGUAUUUUAUAUAUAAAUAUAUCAAUGGUUUCUGUAUUUAAAUACUUUUAACUUGUCUUGUGUUUAUGUUGUAUUGUAAUUUCUUUGGUUAUGGUAAUGUUUCCAUUUAGUUUGUUUUCUUGUGCUGUGCAGCUCUUAGUGUGUUUGUUUUAUUGACAGCACUGAAUUAAAGAAGAUACAUCUGCUGAGAGUCAAACCACUCAUUCUUGCUGGGACUGCUACACUUUCAAUUACUCGCUCUUAAACUUUGUGAGAGAUAACUGUGCUUCAUGAAACUUCAAUAUGCAGUAAAAACAAUGUAGCCCACUUUGUUGUGUGUCGUGUGUGUGUGAUGGAGACAAUAUUGCCAAGGGCUUUGGUGUGAUUUUGUGACUCACUUUGUUUCAUAGUUCCAGAUGCGGACAGAGUGGUCCAGAGAGCUGGUGGCUACAAGGGGCUUUCGAACACAGAUGGAUAACCCAGUGAUGGACUUGGAGUGAAAGGACUGCGACAGGAACUCAAAAUGGUCCCCCUGAUGGAUUCAGAAACAAGCAACACAUGUCACAGUCACGAUAUGGAUUUAAAGUCUGUCCUUUCCAAUAAAGGCAAAGACGCC